rnacentral:rRNA from 1 species
AAUGAACGUUGGCGGCAGGCCUAACACAUGCAAGUCGAGCGGAUGACGGGAGCUUGCUCCUUGAUUCAGCGGCGGACGGGUGAGUAAUGCCUAGGAAUCUGCCUGGUAGUGGGGGACAACGUUUCGAAAGGAACGCUAAUACCGCAUACGUCCUACGGGAGAAAGCAGGGGACCUUCGGGCCUUGCGCUAUCAGAUGAGCCUAGGUCGGAUUAGCUAGUUGGUGAGGUAAUGGCUCACCAAGGCGACGAUCCGUAACUGGUCUGAGAGGAUGAUCAGUCACACUGGAACUGAGACACGGUCCAGACUCCUACGGGAGGCAGCAGUGGGGAAUGUUGGACAAUGGGCGAAAGACUGAUCCAGCCAUGCCGCGUGUGUGAAGAAGGUCUUCGGAUUGUAAAGCGCUUUAAGUUGGGAGGAAGGGCAGUAAGUUAAUACCUUGCUGUUUUGACGUUACCGACAGAAUAAGCACCGGCUAACUCUGUGCCAGCAGCCGCCGUAACAC